AUUGAACGCUGGCGGCAUGCCUUACACAUGCAAGUCGAACGGUAACAGGUCUUGGGUUGCUGACGAGUGGCGAAGGGGGGAGUAAUACAUCGAAACGUGCCCAGACGCGGGGGGUAACGAGGCGAAAGAUGUGCUAAUAGCUCAUACGAUAUAAGGAUGAAAGCAGGGGAGCUCAAGGGCUUGCGCGGUUGGAGCGGCCGAUGGCAGAUUAGGUAGUUGGUGGGUUAAAAGCUUACCAAGCCGACGAUUUGUAGCUGGUCUGAGAGGACGAGCAGCCACACUGGGACUGAGACACGGCCCAGACUCCUACGGGAGGCAGCAGUGGGGAAUUUUGGACAAUGGGCGAAAGCCUGAUCCAGCAAUGCCGCGUGCAGGAUGAAGGCCUUCGGGUUGUAAACUGCUUUUGUACGGAAAGAAAAGGCGCUGGCUAAUACCUGGGGCACAUGACGGUACCGUAAGAAUAAGCACCGGCUAACUACGUG
rnacentral:rRNA from 1 species